rnacentral:rRNA from 1 species
AACGAACGCUGGCGGCAUGCCUAACACAUGCAAGUCGAACGAGACCUUCGGGUCUGGUGGCGCACGGGUGCGUAACGCGUGGGAACCUGCCCUUAGGUUCGGAAUAACUCCCCGAAAGGGGUGCCAAUACCGGAUAAUGUCUUCGGACCAAAGAUUUAUCGCCUUUGGAUGGGCCCGCGUUGGAUUAGCUAGUUGGUAGGGUAAAAGCCUACCAAGGCGACGAUCCAUAGCUGGUCUGAGAGGAUGAUCAGCCACACUGGGACUGAGACACGGCCCAGACUCCUACGGGAGGCAGCAGUGGGGAAUAUUGGACAAUGGGCGAAAGCCUGAUCCAGCAAUGCCGCGUGAGUGAUGAAGGCCUUAGGGUUGUAAAGCUCUUUUACCCGGGAUGAUAAUGACAGUACCGGGAGAAUAAGCUCCGGCUAACUCCGUG